UCCCUGGUGGUCUAGUGGUUAGGAUUUGGCGCUCUCACUGCAGCAGCCCAGGUUCGAUUCCUGGUCAGGGAA